CCUGUCCGUGGCAGGGGGCUGGAACUGGAUGAUCUUAAGGUCCUUUCUAACCCAAACUAUUCUAUGACUCAAAUGACAGACAUAGCAACGGAGACCCUGUUGCAAAGAGUUCAUAGGAUAAAGGAUUUGGCAAGGGAGAACAAACAGAUCCUGACAGGGGAACCCUUAGGAAAACAAUCACACAGAAUGAACAAAGUCAUUAUGUGCUGUCCUCGGAACAGAACCUCCCAUCAGGAAGGAAGCACAGAAGCAAGUUCCUGACUCCUGACUGCAAGGUACUGCAGCUGCUUCCAGAGAUUAGGCAUGUCGCUGGAGUUCUGCCCUGCUCUGGGUGCAUACCAAUGUUUGGGAAGUUGCUGAGAUUCGCUGUGUUAGGGGCAGGAGGAUUUCACAUUCCAAGCUCAGUUUCAGGCAGCUAUUUUUAGGUAAAUUAUUCCGGCUGACAAGCUGCAAAGAUAAAAGAUGCUGCAGGCCCCACCUUGGCUGCUGUAAACUUAGUCUGCCUCUGUCUAUCUGCAUUCCUCUGCUACUGCAGAGGGAAGAUCUCAGCAGGCAGCUCGCUCCCCGGGUUGGGAAAUUAAUGAAGACGGUUCUGCUCUUUUUAGCACUUUCUUACUCAUCUCCCCGAUGAGCUUCCAGAACUGUCAAACCCCCUGAAGAUCACCCUCCUCUCAGUGAGCCUCCUUUACAUCACACUCAGCUUCCAGACAGUGGUUUAUUGCUGUGGGCUGCAUUCAAACUCUUGCCUGGGUAUUAAGGGUUGGUAGCAAACGUUUUGGCCCACAUUAGCAACUGAUUUAGAGCAAAGCUGGCAGUGCUGAAUGGAACACCUCUCACUGUGUGGUACCUGCCCAUGGCAAUGCGGAGCCUGCAGCAGCGGCCGCUCACACCGUGCUCUAAGGCACUAAUGGUUCUUGCACUUCAAGACAGUCUGAUUUCAACCCUACUCUGGGUUGGCAAAUGUCUCUCAACCCCCCUUCCCCUCCCCUAUUUAGUCAUUCUCUAACAGCAGGAUUUGACAGGUUGUAUGACAAGAUGCUAAAAAAGAGGUCACCUUGUUCACAGCUCCCAAAUGUGGUUAUCAUCAAGUUAACCCACACAAACAGGGGUUCUUGUUUUUAAACAGGCAGAGGCCAUUAACAGUGCAGCCUAUAUGGUUAAAUCAUGUUUUGAACGAACAUUUCUUAAGUAGCAGUUCCUGUUUAUGUACCAUUAACUCUAGAAUCACAUUUCUGUGAUCUUCUUUAUAGAUUUCCAUAACCACUCACCUUUGUUCCUUGGCCCACAAAGCUAGAAAGUUGUUAUAAAUGGUUAGAAAUCAUGUUCCUAUCUAGACAUUUUCUUUUUCUUCUUAAAAGAGUUUCUACUUCCUGCCUAAAGAACUGAGAAAGGCACAAGGAGUUUAAUUAUAGCACUGACCCUGCUUCUCCCGAGCUUGUGAUUGAGCAUCACUAAGAUCUCAAACAUACCAGCAUGUGUAACCAUAACCUAGUGCCAGGGCACCAGAUAAAGACUUUGAAUUGCCCCUACUUGUCAGUUUAGGAUACAAGCAUUUUACCAGAACAUAACUCCGCUGGUAUUCCAUUGAAGUGAUUUGCCAUGACCAUUUCUAAUUCCAGAGUUACCAAAAUCAACAGAAUUAUACUCCAGUCUAAUCACACAGCACAUUAAUUCUGGAAGUCAAAGCCAGUUUGAAUCGCUGGAGGACAUACAACUGUUCUCAAUUGGUAUUUUACUUUUAAAACCCAUAUUGUAUCCUAAAAAUGAGAGCUGUUUCUGACAACUGGUAAUAAAUCAAAGCUGACUCCAACAGUAUCACUGUUAGAUAACAAUUCAACCCAAGUGUGUUUUAAUGUAAAAAUCAACUCUGCUAAAUUCAGGGUACACAGAAAAUAAGAAACAAAACCCAAGACACCUCAAACCACAAUCAUUUAAGUAUGGGAAAAGCAGGACACACUGGGGUGGCGCUCAGCACCUCUGACCUGUGCUACUGGACAGUGCCAAAGCUCCCUUUAAUGAACAGCUUUAAAAGAACCAAAGUUAAAGUUAGCUGUGAGUGACUGAACACAGCUUUCUGGCCCAGAAUGGUUAUUUAAGUCUUAACUCCAGCCCUGACUAUGGGAAAGCAAUACACAUAGGACGCAGAUCUACUGAGAUUCUGAUGACUCUUACCUGUACCGCUGCUGAUGCACUCUCUGCGACUCACAAGUGAUUAAAGCAGUGACAACCUUUCUCAUGGGUCACCCUGUUUCUCUCUCCUUCAUGCUUGGAUAACCUGAAAACUGUUGUGAGAUCAAAUGAACCAAACAGCCAGGAGCGCCCCUGUACAAUUAACUUCUACCUGUAUCUUGACACGUUUGAUCUGAAAAUUCAGGUGCCUGAAUAAAACAAGGAAAAACAAAUCAGCUCAAAGGAUGAUGCAGCAUCACCCUCACCGUACAUCAACUUACAUUUCAUCCUGGUGAGGACUGGAGAUGGGAAAAGCGCUUCAAAACUUGAUUUUACUCAUUCUCAAGCUCCUUUUCACUUAUUUCCCGUGGCAGACACACACAGUUUGCUCACUUGAAGAGAUAUUUGUGAUGAAGACAACAGGCAGCCUGCCCUUGAACCGCCAAAGGAGGCUGAGCCAACGGGCACCGCCACAGCAUCUAUCACAGGGACUGUGGGCAGUGAUUGCGCUUGCGGAACGUUGCUUCCAUCUAGUGAUGUGUGAGCCAUCAGCUUGCAGGAGCUCACAGUGGGACAAAACCCCACAGCUCCCAGCGGAUCCAAUUCUGCCUUGAAGCUGCAGGAAGGUGUAAAUAAAGAUUAACAUGGAUUGAGAUCUCGUGAUCCACCUCGCUUCCAGAUCAAAAGGGAAUGAUCAUAUUCCCAGGCCCGAGCAGCAGAGUUCACUGCUCAAAUGGCAAUAAAAGACAAAAAAUCCACAUGCACAACUGACAUCCAAAAUGGCUCAACAUAAUUUAUUUUUUAUGUUAAAAUGUACAGAGUUCUUUUGAAAGUACUUGCUAGAAAGGGGAAAAAAAAGUGAUAUUACAUACAAGGAGAGGAAGGGAGACCAUCCAGCCAGGAGCGUAUGACAUGGAGAAUUACAAAGGCAUCUAGGCACCCCUUCCCCUUAGCUUACAAGUCACCAUGAACAAAGUACAAAGAGGUUACAAAACAGGAAAAGCAAAUAUAAACAGACAGGAAUAGACUCAGCUUCAUUUGUACAUGCGGCUUUUAGAGGCAUCUGGAGCUCCUAUUCACACACUCUAGAGAUCUCUUUAAAGAGAAUUUUUUUAUCUUUCUUAAAAUAGUUUUUAAUAUUCUACAACAAAGAUAAAAAACUUUAAAGAUGGAAUGAAAUGAAAAAGCUCUUAUUCUUUUAAAAGGCAUCGAAGUCACUAACAGUGAGAUUUUUAAUUUCUUUUAGAAGAUUACCCAAGUUAUCUUGCUAAAAAUACAUAUUUUUUUUUUUAUUUUUUUUUUUUAAACAGAAGUGAAAAAAUGGUAGGUACCAAUAUUACUGCGUUGGAUAAUUUCUUUUUUUCUUUUUUUAUAUAUAGAAAAGAACAUUUUUUUUUUUUUUUUUCUCUCUACAAUAGUUCUACAGUCACAAAGGCUUGUGGAAAAAGGGAGCUGCCCAAUUGGUAAAAAAAACAUACAAAAACCAAACCAACCAAACUAAAUCCACCGCCCUCGUUCCAACAGCUUAUCCUCCUCCUGUCUCACACCCACCCCCCCCCACCCCCCCCAACCACCAGGAAGCAGUGACCCAGCUGAAGAUCUAGGAAGGAGAGGGCAGCACAGUGCGCUUUCUACAUGGGUUAUUUGGGACUGGAAUAGUAUAUACAGAGAAAUGGGGUCCUACACAGCCUUGUACAUGCUCAAAACUAAACAGAAGUAAAAAGUGGAAGUCCUUUGAAUUCUGCCUUUUAUGGUUAAGCAGUUACUGGAGGAAAGUCCGGUUUAGUGCAUCUGAAGAAAACCCCAACUUUCUGUUUAGACUCUUUUGGUUUAAAAACAAAAGAAAUUAGUCUUAUUAAUGUGUCUGUAUUUCUACUUCAUAUACAAUAAAAAAGAACUUUACAUUAAGGGGUGUCCCUUUUUGUAUUGGGUGACAUGCCAGCAGUGUAGCCAAAACGAAUGUCAAUUGGAUUAUGCGGUA